UGUGUAGUUUCUACGCAUGCGCUAAAAGUUUGCGUCGUAAACGCGAUCGAGAUUGUGAAAAGAAACUCAAUCUAUGACGUUUGCUACAAACAUAGCAAUCUUUCAGUGCAUUAAUUUAUUUUGAUCUCUAAAGGUAAUAGGCCGUUACUAUAUAGCGUUUCAUUGUAUUCUAACACUUUUUAUGUUGAUCGACGGAUCUGUCUACCUUCUACAUGAGUGCUUGGUGACAAAGUGUAAACAGAUUUUUGUUUUGCAAACUAUCAGUCGUAUCCAACAUUAAAAAAUGUACAACAUGGGAUUGGCUGUUCAAAACUCUAUAUAUAUCAGCCGAAGAACUAGAAUUUUCGCAGAAAAGAACAUUAAUAUGCGUCGGUGGUGGAGUAGGCUUUGGAGCACUGGUUAUACAGAAAUACAUACAAAUGACAGUUGUCAAUGGAAGAUGAGUGGGUUAGGCGGUGAUAAGAUUUGGACAAGAGAGUGCCAUUGCGGUAAAUUUAAAAAAGAAGGUUCAGAAGAGCAUCACGAUAUGAGCUGUAAAUGGCAUUCGACAGUUAUGGGGGCAAGCAAGUAUAUUCUGCGUCGAGAAUGCCAUUGUGGGUAUUACUCAACGGUUGGUCCAAACAUUGAUAUCAACUAGAUGAAUAUGAUUUGAUGAGAUCGUGGAAGAGGAAGAUUGCAUGCAUCCUAUUUGAAAGCUAUACAAUCAAAGCACAAAUUGCACCUUCAUGUCAAGACACAAAUUUCAUCGUCCUGUAGAGGAGAAUUAUGAAACUAAAUUUUACUCGCACCUCCUUGUAUUCCACUGUUAACUACUCGCCUACUUUGCACCUCAUCAAUAUAUAUUUAGCCAACAAGCUCCACUACUGCACCAAAGAAAGCUUAGAAAAGAUAAUUUACAACCGAUAACACUUCUAUAUCCAGAUUAGAUUAAAUAUAAUAGUUAUCUUGUAAAAUUAAAUCAAGUAGGUUUCCCAUGAUCAGUAUAACAUUAACAAUAUUAUUGUGUUCCUAUAAUCGUAAAUUGUAAGGCUAGUACAAUGAAGUGUUCUCCAUAGCAUCAUGGGCAAGCGUCAUGGUAAGUAUUAAGUCCACCCUAGGGACUGACACUAGGUAUUUUUAAUAAUUAGGAGGCAUUGAAAUGUCCUAAAUUGCACUUUAAGACUAUAUAAAAGCUUCCCUGAUAAAAGAAUCAUGGAAGAUGAUCCAAGCAUCAUGACCAACUGUCAAGACUUCAUGUGGAAAGUCCCAAGCAUCAUGGUACCAUGGUGCUUCAAGGGACUGGGGAGAACACUGAUAAUAGGCUUAUCCUUAUAAGCCUAAUUCAGAAUAUAAACAUACAAAUUAGUAAAAUGAAAACUACAAAAAUAUUCAUAAAAGUUUUAUUUGAAAUUAAAUUGUUCGUUUUGAAGUACUGCAACAUGAAAAUAAUCAACUAAUAUCAAAUCAAAAUAUCAAAUCGUUCCAUUUAUAUGUCGCCAUUCCAACAGCCAUUGCUCGUGGCGAAGUGGAUUAGAUGUUGCACUUUUCAAUAACGCACUUUCCUCUGUCCAAAUGAGUUUAUUUAAAAAAUAUUUACCAAUAAAUUUUACAGCGAAAAAUGAUAGAAACACUUCCAGUCACUGGAAUUGUUUUUGUUAUUAAUUAUCAUUAUCAAGUAUAAAAAUCAGGAUACACAUUUUUUAAUUUAAAAAAAAAAAGUGUAUGCUUUAGUCAAAAAUGUGUAUGUUACAGCAAAAUGAGCAAGUUAAUUUCAAAAUUUUUUUUAAAUGAUAAUUUUCUGUCAUAUUCAUUCGACAAUUCAUCUUUAACUCUGUUAAAAUGUUAAUUUCUUUGACUGUAGCACUUCUUUUAUAUUUCUUCUACACUAUAGCAUUAUACAGUAUUUGACCCCUUUAAAUAUUUAUAUUAUCUUAUGUUGUUGGUAUUAUUAUUAUUACUGAUAAAUGUCAUGUAGCAUUAUAUAAAUAAUAUGUAGGCCUGUUACUAUUAGUUAACAAUUAACAACAAAUGUUUCCCUUUUUAUACAGUUCGUUCCACAAGGGGUCGAAUUUUUGUAGGUCCUAAAUGUAGGUGUCAACUUUGAUAAAUCAUUAACAAGACCACUCUCAUUAUCAUCAUUAUUAUCAUUCUCAUAAUGUAGUUAUUUUAUUGACCUCGACAUAUAAAUUAUGUUAUUACUAUUACUAUUAUUAUUAAAAAUAUUAUUAAUAUUAUUGUUAUUAUUAUUAAUGUUAAUAUAGGCAUUUUAAAUUUACAUUGCAUUGUAACGUGCUAGUAUUAUGUACCGUAGUUGCAUUAAAAGCUCUCUAAACUUAGCUA